UAAAAAAAAAAAAAAAGUUCUACUAUGGCUUCGGGGACUGUAGGGGGAGUCAAGUCUGCAACAGCGAGUAGUAACUUCUCUCCCUUCUCAGUAUUUUGAUGAUGACUUUGGCUUGCCAAAUAUCA
rnacentral:snoRNA from 1 species